UCCCUGGUGGUCCAGUGGUUAGGACUCGGGGCUUUCACCACUGUGGCCCUGGGUUCAAUCCCAGGUGAGGGGA
rnacentral:tRNA from 1 species